rnacentral:rRNA from 1 species
CUGCCUACGGGAGGCAGCAGUGAGGAAUAUUGGUCAAUGGUCGGGAGACUGAACCAGCCAAGCCGCGUGAGGGAUGAAGGUACAGAGUAUCGUGAACCUCUUUUGUCAGGGAACAAAGGCGGGGACGUGUCCCCGGAUGAGGGUACCUGAAGAAAAAGCAUCGGCUAACUCCGUGCCAGCAGCCGCGGUAAUACGGAGGAUGCGAGCGUUAUCCGGAUUUAUUGGGUUUAAAGGGUGCGCAGGCGGUCUGUUAAGUCAGCGGGCAAAGCCCGGGGCCCAACCCCGGCCCGCC